CUACGUGCCAGCAGCCGCGGUAAUACGGAAGGUCCAGGCGUUAUCCGGAUUUAUUGGGUUUAAAGGGAGUGUAGGCGGUUUGUUAAGCGUGUUGUGAAAUUUAGGUGCUCAACAUUUAACUUGCAGCGCGAACUGGCGAACUUGAGUGCACACAACGUAUGCGGAAUUCAUGGUGUAGCGGUGAAAUGCUUAGAUAUCAUGAAGAACUCCGAUUGCGAAGGCAGCAUACGGGAGUGUAACUGACGCUUAAGCUCGAAGGUGCGGGUAUCGAACAGGAUUAGAUACCCUGGUAGUCCGCACAGUAAACGAUGGAUGCCCGCUGUUAGCGCCUGGCGUUAGCGGCUAAGCGAAAGCAUUAAGCAUCCCACCUGGGGAGUACGCCGGCAACGGUGAAACUCAAAGGAAUUGACGGGGGCCCGCACAAGCGGAGGAACAUGUGGUUUAAUUCGAUGAUACGCGAGGAACCUUACCCGGGCU
rnacentral:rRNA from 1 species